UACGAAGGGGGCUAGCGUUGUUCGGAAUCACUGGGCGUAAAGCGCACGUAGGCGGAUGUGCCAGUCAGGGGUGAAAUCCCGGAGCUCAACUCCGGAACUGCCUCUGAUACAGCACGUCUUGAGUUCGAGAGAGGUGGGUGGAAUUCCUAGUGUAGAGGUGAAAUUCGUAGAUAUUAGGAAGAACACCGGUGGCGAAGGCGGCCCACUGGCUCGAUACUGACGCUGAGGUGCGAAAGCGUGGG
rnacentral:rRNA from 1 species